rnacentral:rRNA from 1 species
AGAGUUUGAUCCUGGCUCAGAUUGAACGCUGGCGGCGUGCCUAACACAUGCAAGUCGAGCGGUAACAGGUGUAGCAAUACAUGCUGACGAGCGGCGAACGGGUGAGUAAUACUUUGGAAUCUUCCCAGUAGUGGGGAAUAACCAGUCGAAAGAUUGGCUAAUACCGCAUACGUCCCUUUUUCGAAAGAAGGAGGGGGAAAGCAGGGGACCGUAAGGCCUUGCGCUAUUGGAUGAGCCAAAGUCGGAUUAGCUAGUUGGUAGGGUAAUGGCCUACCAAGGCGACGAUCCGUAGCUGGUCUGAGAGGACGACCAGCCACACCGGAACUGAGACACGGUCCGGACUCCUACGGGAGGCAGCAGUGGGGAAUAUUGGACAAUGGGGGAAACCCUGAUCCAGCGACGCCGCGUGUGUGAAGAAGGCCUGCGGGUUGUAAAGCACUUUUAGUGGGGACAAAAAGCUACGGACUAAUACUCUGUGGUCUUGAUUUAACCCACAGAAAAAGCACCGGCUAACUCUGUGCCAGCAGCCGCGGUAAUACAGAGGGUGCGAGCGUUAAUCGGAAUUACUGGGCGUAAAGCGCGCGUAGACGGUUUUGUAAGUCGGAUGUGAAAUCCCUGGGCUCAACCUGGGAACUGCGUUCGAGACUGCAUGGCUAGAGUACGGUAGAGGGAAGCGGAAUUUCCGGUGUAGCGGUGAAAUGCGUAGAUAUCGGAAGGAACACCAGUGGCGAAAGCGGCUUCCUGGACCAGUACUGACGUUCAUGUGCGAAAGCGUGGGGAGCAAACAGGAUUAGAUACCCUAGUAGUCC